GGGGUUGUGGCUCAGUGGUAGAGCUCUUGCCUAGCACAUGCAAGACACUGGGUUCAAUCCUCAGCAUUACCU
rfam:Ictidomys tridecemlineatus contig094829, whole genome shotgun sequence.